rnacentral:misc_RNA from 1 species
UGGCUCUCGCAUCGAUGAAGAACGCAGCGAAAUGCGAUAAGUAAUGUGAAUUGCAGAAUUCAGUGAAUCAUCGAAUCUUUGGACGCACAUUGCGCCCUCUGGUAUUCCGGGGGGCAUGCCUGUUCGAGCGUCAUUACAACCCUCAAGCUCAGCUUGGUAUUGGGUGCUACUGUCUUGGUACACCUCAAAGUCAGUGGCGGUGCCAUCUGGCUUCUAGCGUAGUAAUACUUUUCGCUACGGAGUUCUGGUGUUUGCUUGCCAUCAACCUCUAUUUUACUGGUUGACCUCGGAUCAGGUAGGGAUACCCGCUGA